CAAUAGGCUCAUGGGGACAGUUCCUGCAAUUUACAGAAAAGCUCUCAAUUGUAGCCCUACGAACUUCAGAUACUGCCGAUGGUGAAGCUUGGGUGCACCGGGCCGGUUUUCCAGCCGUGUGGAAUCAACAUCUCCAGCUGAACUGGGGCCGGGAAUUAUAUAAGACUCCUUAGCAGCAUGAGUGCCAGCCAGUCAUUGCUGUUUUUUGUAUUGCUGAGGAGGACAGUCCUGCCAACAUAACAGUUUGUUCAAUAACAG